rnacentral:tRNA from 1 species
UCCCAUGUGGUCAAGUGAUUAGGAUCUGGCGCUCUCAGCGACAUGGCCCGGGCUCAAUUCCCGUCAUGGGAA